rnacentral:tRNA from 2 species
GGGGGUGUAGCUCAGCUCGGGAGAGCGCCUGCCUUGCAAGCAGGAGGUCGGCGGUUCGAAUCCGCUCACCUCCA